rnacentral:rRNA from 1 species
AUGGCGGCGGCGGCGCCGGUCGUUCUGGAGAUGGACGUGCACUGCCGGCAGUGCGCCAAGAAGAUCCGCAAGUCCAUCAGGGACAUGUUCGGUGUGGACAGGGUCUCCGCGUCGCACCAGACGGGGAUGGUGGUGGUGCACGGCGGCGACGUGGACGCCACGAUGCUGCGGUGGCUCCUGCAGCGGGCCAUGGGGAGGCCCGUCACCGUCCUCAGCGACGGCGGCCGGGAGUCGAUGCUGCACUACGAGGGGAUCAGGCACAUGGCGCCCACGCACUGCGCGCCGCAUCCGCCGCCCUACGCCUGGGACAGCUCCCCCUACGCCGGCGGCUUCUCCGGGGCCUACCACCACCCGUACCAGCACUGGUCCACGCCGCCGCCGCCGCACCCGUAUGGCUCUACGUCGAGCAUCUUUGACGACAGCGUCCCCGGCAAUUCCUGCUCAAUCAUGUGA